rnacentral:lncRNA from 1 species
GUCCACUGAUGGCCUCUUCUACCAAAUAGUGAUCCUAAACGAUAGUACGUAGAUUUGACCAAUGCAGUGAUUGGAAGGUUCCGGGUUUCUUUCAACACCGUUUUCAUUGCUUCUGCUAGGUUAGUUGUCAUGUGACCCCAGCGUUGCCCUCCGUCAAAUGCCCUUGCCCACUUCUCGCGAGGGAUGUUGUCUAUCCAUGAUAAAGCGUCGUUGUUUG